rnacentral:rRNA from 1 species
GACGAACGCUGGCGGCGUGCUUAACACAUGCAAGUCGAACGGUGAAGCUCCAGCUUGCUGGAGUGGAUCAGUGGCGAACGGGUGAGUAACACGUGAGCAACCUGCCCCUGACUCUGGAAUAAGCGCUGGAAACGGCGUCUAAUACUGGAUACGAGAAGGGUCCGCAUGGGCACUUUCUGGAAAGUUUUUCGGUUGGGGAUGGGCUCGCGGCCUAUCAGCUUGUUGGUGAGGUAAUGGCUCACCAAGGCGACGACGGGUAGCCGGCCUGAGAGGGCGACCGGCCACCAUGGGACUGAGACACGGACCAGUAUCCUACGGGAGGCAGAAGGGGGAAAUAUUGCAGAAUGGGCGAGAGCCUGAUGCAGCGGCGCCGCGUGAGGGAUGACGGCCUUCGGGUUGUAAACCUCUUUCAGCAGGGAAGAAGCGAAAGUGACGGUACCUGCAGAAGAAGCAACGGCUAACUACGUG